GCGCCUAAUACAUGCAAGUCGAGCGUACCCUUCGGGGUUAGCGGCGGACGGGUGAGUAACACGUAGGUAACCUGCCUGUAAGAUCGGGAUAACUACCGGAAACGGUAGCUAAGACCGGAUAAUUGUCUUCCUCGCAUGAGGGAGAUAUGAAACACGGAGAAAUCUGUGGCUUACAGAUGGACCUGCGGCGCAUUAGCUAGUUGGUGAGGUAAUGGCUCACCAAGGCGACGAUGCGUAGCCGACCUGAGAGGGUGAUCGGCCACACUGGGACUGAGACACGGCCCAGACUCCUACGGGAGGCAGCAGUAGGGAAUCUUCCGCAAUGGACGCAAGUCUGACGGAGCAACGCCGCGUGAGUGAUGAAGGUUUUCGGAUCGUAAAGCUCUGUUGCCCUAGACGAACAGCAAGGGGAGUAACUGCCCUUUGUGUGACGGUAUAGGAGAAGAAAGCCCCGGCUAACUACGUGCCAGCAGCCGCGGUAAUACGUAGGGGGCAAGCGUUGUCCGGAAUUAUUGGGCGUAAAGCGCGCGCAGGCGGUUCGUUAAGUCUGAUGGUAAAGCCCGGGGCUCAACCCCGGUGUUCAU
rnacentral:rRNA from 1 species